UUGUCCCCAUUCUCGCUCCUUUUCGUUUCUAGGCAACACUGCAGCGGAGGUCUGAGCGGAGAGGGAGAGGCGCAGAGACCGGCAGACAGAGAGAUAGUGAGCUGCUCUUGAAACUUUGGAGACAGCUAUGUCAGGAAUGCAGGUGCCUGCUGUGAGGACAACAAAGUGAGGAGGACCUCCGUAGGAGCGCAGCGUGGGCAAGCAGCACGUCGGUGUGAGGGGAACCGAGCCCACAUUUCAACUCUGCUCGCCUGCUUCUCAUGCAAAGUUGUUCAAAGUUGAGUUUCAAAGCAGAAACAGAGAAGCCACAUCACAGGGAGACCAGAAGAUUUUGAAAAGGAGGGCGGAAGAGAAGAAAAGUUUAAAACAAAGUGUAGGAGAGGGCUUGAGAGAGUGUGUGUGAUGUGGCCGAGUAAAAGGACACAGAUGACAGAGAAUACUUAAAAAAAGAAAAGAAAAAAGGACAUUAUUUAGUGGUAUGUGCGUGUGUGUGUGUGUGUGUGUGGGUGUGUGUCUGAGUGUAUACACAUCGAUCUGUGUGUCCCUGAAAGUGCAUGAAUGCGUAUUGAUCUGUGUGUCUUUUAGAGUGUUGCAUAUAUGUGAAAACAUGGCUGUGUACAGAUACAUGCAUGAAAGCAUCUCUGUUUCUGCACUUUGCUGUGUAUGUGUCAGAGUACUGCACAAAUGUGUGUAGUCGUAUGUGUGUGUGUGGCCAGCUGUACAUCUGCCUGAUGGAGUCCUGGGGCCCCUGUGGCCCUUGUAGUCAGGGACUGAUGUGAUUUAGUGGUGUGGGUCAAAGGUCAAGAGCCCCUAGUCUCCAUCUGCGUCUAAAGAAAAGGCCAUCAGGAAGGGAUUAGGCUGGAGUCAAUGGUCCUGGUGACAUGUCUGCCACCAUGUUCACUUCACACACACACACACACACACACACACACACACACACACACAUAUACACAGAUCACAUACAGCCAAAAGAACAUCAGUAUUUCCAUUGGUUUCACUGCGUUGAAACAGUAGCGUUGUUUUAGUAUUCAGAGUAGCAUAUAUGCUAAAAUUUCUUUGUGUUAGACUCACUGUAAUAAAGCUAUUCAAUUAAAAAUGAAA